AGGCUCUUACAACUUAUAUGGAACUCCUUGACUUGAAACCACUUCCUGUGACUGCACUUGCAAAUGGAACUUAUGAAGAAUUGUACAGAUACAUACAUUUUAACCCCAUACAGACGAAGGCUUUUGAUGUGCUAUAUCACACGGACCAAAAUGGGGAGAAAAGAAGAUAAAAACAGAAAAAGAAGAAAAAAGAAAAAAGAAAAAAAAAGAAGAGGAGACAGAUCUGUGGAAAAAAAAAGAAAAGAAUAGAAAAAAUUAGGGGAACAGAUCUAGAAAAAGGAAAAAACAGUGCAGAAUUAAAGAAAGAGUUCCAAGACGAGAAUAAGCUGUUGGAGGAAGAGAUGGGGAGGGAAAGACAACGAUUGGCGGGGCUUCAACUUGAAGCACUUCUGGAAGAGAAAUCAAGAUCGCAAAAUGAGAAUGCCAAAUCUUCUUUCAGGGCUCCAGGGCAAGUCCCAAGUAGCAUGUUGAAUAUGCUAGACUAUGAUUGUAAUCUGGCAACACUAUGGCAGAAGGAGUAGAAAGAAACAUGGUAAGGGGUAGAACAAGAGCAAAAUGUGGAGAAAAGAAGAAAAAAACAUAAAAAAGAAAAAAAACAGAAAUAAGAAGAAAAAAAGAGAAGGCAGAUCUGUGGAAAAAAAAAGAAAAGAAAAAUUUGUGGAACAGAUCCAGAAAAGGGAAAAAACAGAGUGCAGAAUCAAAGGAAGAUUUCCAAGAAAAUGUGAAUAAAAUAGCCAGAGUAAGCUAUUGGAGGAAGAAAUGGGAAGUUUCAUGAUGGAGUAAUGGGAGGAAAGCAUGACGGUUUGGUGAGGCUUCAACUUGAAGCACUUCUGGAAGAGAAAUCAAGAUCUGAAAAUGAGAAUUCAAACUUGAAUAGGGAAAACAAGUACCUGCAUCAACUAGUGGAGUACCCUCGCUCAACAGAUCCGAAAUAGCAUGGA